rnacentral:rRNA from 1 species
UACGUAGGGCGCAAGCGUUGUCCGGAAUUAUUGGGCGUAAAGAGCUCGUAGGCGGUUUGUCGCGUCUGCUGUGAAAACCUGAGGCUCAACCUCGGGCUUGCAGUGGGUACGGGCAGACUAGAGUGCGGUAGGGGGUGACUGGAAUUCCUGGUGUAGCGGUGGAAUGCGCAGAUAUCAGGAGGAACACCGAUGGCGAAGGGCAGGUCACUGGG